GGGCCGCCGCGGACCGGGGAAGCCCCGACCGGGCCUGCCCAGCCGCGGGGCCGCUGGAAGCCGCGGGGGCGGGAGAGGCGCGGAGAGGCCGCAGCCCGUGGGGGGCGGGAACCGGACGCGCGCAGCCGCUGCUCUCUCCCCGCUCCCCGGCGCCUCACGUUUGAAAAAUUCAGCCAACCUCACAGUUUUGUUUCUGUGGGGGAAGGAACACGCGGAUUUUGUAGGGAAACGUAGCCUUAUCUGUAUAUAAUAUUCCGAGGUUCGUCUUUUAAGGGCAGAUUUGGGAGACUGAUGAUACUGGAAACAGUGAGGGAAAGGAUCUGAAGGGAUUCUGCUAAAUUCCUAGGACUGGUAAAAGAACUUUGCCUGGUCAGUAGCCAGGACUAGUGUCAGGAUAUUAUCAUGCAGACACACCCUUAACUUUCUGUAUACCGUCAGGCACUGCCACACUCAGAAUCACUUCAUGGUCCCAUAUAGGUGCUGCAGCUCCAGUUUCCACUUUGGGGGAAAGUAGCAGGAGGAAGCAAGGGGGAAAUGGUCUACCUCUUCCCUUUUAACAAAUUCUUUCUGAAAGUUCCACACUUCUGCUUACAUUUCA